UCUCCGUUGGUGAACCAGCGGAGGGAUCAUUACCGAGUUUACAACUCCCAAACCCCUAUGUGAACGUUACCAAACCGUUGCCUCGGCGGGAAAUUCAUGCCCCGGGCGCGUCGCAGCCCCGGACCAAGGCGCCCGCCGGAGGACCAACCAAAACUCUUUUGUAUGUCCCUCGCGGACUUUUAUAAUUCUGAACCAUCUCGGCGCCCCUAGCGGGCGUUUCGAAAAUGAAUCAAAACUUUCAACAACGGAUCUCUUGGUUCUG
rnacentral:misc_RNA from 1 species